rnacentral:rRNA from 1 species
UCAUAUCAAUAAGCGGAGGAAAAGAAACCAACAGGGAUUGCCUCAGUAACGGCGAGUGAAGCGGCAACAGCUCAAAUUUGAAAUCUGGCCCCAGGCCCGAGUUGUAAUUUGCAGAGGAUGCUUUUGGUGCGGUGCCUUCCAAGUUCCCUAGAACGGGACGCCAGAGAGGGUGAGAGCCCCGUACAGUUGGACACCAAGCCUUUGUAAAGCUCCUUCGACGAGUCGAGUAGUUUGGGAAUGCUGCUCAAAAUGGGAGGUAUAUUUCUUCUAAAGCUAAAUACCGGCCAGAGACCGAUAGCGCACAAGUAGAGUGAUCGAAAGAUGAAAAGCACUUUGAAAAGAGGGUUAAACAGCACGUGAAAUUGUUAAAAGGGAAGCGCUUGUGACCAGACUUGCGUCCGGUGAAUCACCCAGCUCUCGCGGCUGGGGCACUUCGCCGGCUCAGGCCAGCAUCAGCUCGCUGUCGGGGACAAAAGCUUCAGGAACGUAGCUCUCUUCGGGGAGUGUUAUAGCCUGUUGCACAAUACCCUUCGGCGGGCUGAGGUACGCGCUCCGCAAGGAUGCUGGCAUAAUGGUCAUCAGCGACCCGUCUUGAAACACGGACCAAGGAGUCAACCUUAUGUGCGAGUGUUCGGGUGUCAAACCCCUACGCGUAAUGAAAGUGAACGCAGGUGAGAGCUUCGGCGCAUCAUCGACCGAUCCUGAUGUUCUCGGAUGGAUUUGAGUAAGAGCAUAUAGGGUUGGACCCGAAAGAAGGUGAACUAUGCGUGUAUAGGGUGAAGCCAGAGGAAACUCUGGUGGAGGCUCGCAGCGGUUCUGACGUGCAAAUCGAUCGUCAAAUAUGCGCAUGGGGGCGAAAGACUAAUCGAACCUUCUAGUAGCUGGUUUCCGCCGAAGUU